UAAUACAUGCAAGUCGAGCGGACAGAUAAGGAGCUUGCUCCUUUGACGUUAGCGGCGGACGGGUGAGUAACACGUGGGCAACCUGCCCCUUAGACUGGGAUAACUCCGGGAAACCGGAGCUAAUACCGGAUAAUCCCUUUCUCCACCUGGAGAGAGGGUGAAAGAUGGCUUCGGCUAUCACUAAGGGAUGGGCCCGCGGCGCAUUAGCUAGUUGGUAAGGUAACGGCUUACCAAGGCAACGAUGCGUAGCCGACCUGAGAGGGUGAUCGGCCACACUGGGACUGAGACACGGCCCAGACUCCUACGGGAGGCAGCAGUAGGGAAUCUUCCGCAAUGGACGAAAGUCUGACGGAGCAACGCCGCGUGAGUGAGGAAGGCCUUCGGGUCGUAAAGCUCUGUUGUGAGGGAAGAAGCGGUACCGUUCGAAUAGGGCGGUACCUUGACGGUACCUACACCAGAAAGCCACGGCUAACUA
rnacentral:rRNA from 2 species